UGUGUCUACCAUGGCCUGGAUUCCAUUUCUCCUGCUCUUCUCUUACGGCACAAGUUCCCUCUCACAUCCUGUGCUGACUCAACCACCCUUCCUUUCCACGUUCCUGCAAGAAACAGCCAGAUUCACCUGCACUAUGAGAAGUGACGUCAAUGUUGCCGAAAAAAACAUAAACUGGUACCACAAGAGGCCUGGGUCUCCUCCUCAGUAUCUGCUCUAUUACUACUCAGACUCAGAAAAGCACCAAGGCUCCUGGGUCCCCAGCCACUACUCUGGAUCUAAAGAUGCCUCCACCAACUCAGGGAUUUUGAUCAUUUCUGGGGUCCGGCCUGAGGACGAGGGUGACUUUUACUGUAUGGUUGGACACGAUGGUUCUCACACUGAUGCAGGCGGACCACCGCAGCCGGCGCUGACUCCGUCACCCUCUGCGUCUACCUACCUCCCUGGGAGCCCCGGCCGAGCUCACCUGCACUCUGUGCAGCCAGCACAGAGCCUGCUGCAUGACAGGCAUCUCCAGAAGCCAGCGAAGGCACUGCAGCUCGUUAUGUGGAGUAACAGUGACGGAAACCACGGCAAAAGGGACCGGGUGCCUGAUUACUUUUUCAGGCACUAA